AGUGAACGCUGGCGGCGUGCUUAACACAUGCAAGUCGAACGAGAACGGAAUAUAGCUUGCUAUAUUUGUCAGCUAAGUGGCGCACGGGUGAGUAAUGUAUAGAUAACCUGCCCUUAAGAAAGGAAUAACAGUUGGAAACGACUGCUAAUGCCCUAUAUGCCUUUAAUACAUAAGUAUGCAAGGGAAACGCUUUAGUGCUUAAGGAUGGGUCUGUAUGUAUCAGCUUGUUGGUGAGGUAAUGGCUCACCAAGGCUAUGACGCCUAACUGGUUUGAGAGGAUGAUCAGUCACACUGGAACUGAGACACGGUCCAGACUCCUACGGGAGGCAGCAGUGGGGAAUAUUGCACAAUGGACGAAAGUCUGAUGCAGCAACGCCGCGUGGAGGAUGACACAUUUCGGUGCGUAAACUCCUUUUAUAUAGGAAGAUAAUGACGGUACUAUAUGAAUAAGCACCGGCUAACUCCGUGCCAGCCGCCGCGGUAA
rnacentral:rRNA from 1 species